GCUUGCACUAAGAUGAUUUUGGAUCCGACUGAGUGGCGAACUGGUGAGUAACACGUGGGUAACCUGCCCAGAAGAAGGGGAUAACACCUGGAAACAGAUGCUAAUACCGUAUAACAACAAGAACCACAUGGUUCUUGUUUGAAAGCUGGCCUUUGUGCUAGUGCUUCUGGAUGGACCCGCGGCGUAUUARCUAGUUGGUGAGAUAAUAGCUCACCAAGGCAAUGAUACGUAGCAGACCUGAGAGGGUAAUCUGCCACAAUGGGACUGARACACSGCCCAUACUCCUACGGGAGGCAGCAGUAGGGAAUCUUCCACAAUGGACGAAAGUCUGAUGGARCAACGCCGCGUGAGUGAAGAAGGGUUUCGGCUCGUAAAACUCUGUUGUUAGARAAGAAC
rnacentral:rRNA from 2 species